ensembl:misc_RNA Metazoa_SRP Metazoan signal recognition particle RNA
GCUGGGCAUGGUGGCGCGUGCCUGUAAUCCCAGCUACUCAGGAGGCUGAGGCAGGAGAAUCACUUGAACCAGGGAGGCGGAGGUUGCAGUGAGCCAAGAUCGCGCCACUGCACUCCAGCCUGGUGACAGAGUGAGACUCCGUCUCAA